rnacentral:rRNA from 1 species
AGUGAACGCUGGCGGUAGGCCUAACACAUGCAAGUCGAACGGCAGCACAGUAAGAGCUUGCUCUUACGGGUGGCGAGUGGCGGACGGGUGAGGAAUACAUCGGAAUCUACUUUUUCGUGGGGGAUAACGUAGGGGAACUUACGCUAAUACCGCAUACGACCUACGGGUGAAAGCAGGGGAUCUUCGGACCUUGCGCGGUUGAAUGAGCCGAUGUCGGAUUAGCUAGUUGGCGGGGUAAAGGCCCACCAAGGCGACGAUCCGUAGCUGGUCUGAGAGGAUGAUCAGCCACACUGGAAGUGAGACACGGUCCAGACUCCUACGGGAGGACGCAGUGGGGAAUAUUGGACAAUGGGCGCAAGCCUGAUCCAGCCAUACCGGGUGGGUGAAGAAGGCCUUCGGGUUGUAAAGUCCUUUUGUUGGGAAAGAAAAGCAGCAGGUUAAUACCCCGCUGUUCUGACGGUACCCAAAGAAUAAGCACCGGCUAACUUCGUG